rnacentral:rRNA from 1 species
GACGAACGCUGGCGGCGUGCCUAAUACAUGCAAGUAGAACGCAGUUGCGAACGGGUGAGUAACGCGUAGGUACCUGCCUCAUAGUGGGGGACAACAAUUGGAAACGAUAGCUAAUACCGCAUACUGCGAGAUGGACCUGCGUUGUAUUAGCCAGUUGGUGAGGUAAAGGCUCACCAAGGCGACGAUACAUAGCCGACCUGAGAGGGUGAUCGGCCAAACUGGGACUGGAACACGGCACAGGCUCCUACGGGAGGGAGCAAUAGGGAAUCUUCGGCAAUGGACGGAAGUCUGACCGAGCAGGGGCGCGUGGGUGAAGAAGGUUGUCGGAUCGUAAAGCUCUGUUGUUAGAGAUACGGUAACUAACCAGAAAGGGACGGCUAACUACGUGCCAGCAGCCGCGGUAAUAC